GCCUGGGUGGCUCAGUCGGUUGAGCAUCCGACUUCGGCUCAGAUCGGUUUGUGAGUUUGAGCCCCAUGUCAGGCU
rnacentral:tRNA from 1 species